rnacentral:other from 1 species
CAUUCCCUGCGAUGUUCGUGCAGAUGACCGUAUGUUUUGACCCAACACCUUUUAUAAGGGAAGCCUGCUCCGAUCAUGGCCGUCCUGCCUCGCUCGUUCGAGGACUGCGAAAGUGAUCGGGCGGUUACCCACCUGCACACAGCAGGUUUCAAAACCGCGGUCCUCACGGCAAAGCGGGGGUUUU